rnacentral:rRNA from 1 species
AAUGGGGGAAACCCUGAUGCAGCGAUGCCGCGUGAGUGAAGAAGGCCCUUGGGUUGUAAAACUCUUUCGUCGGGGAAGAAAAUGACUGUACCCGAAUAAGAAGGUCCGGCUAACUUCGUGCCAGCAGCCGCGGUAAUACGAAGGGACCUAGCGUAGUUCGGAAUUGCUGGGCUUAAAGAGCUCGUAGGUGGUUAAAAAAGUUGAUGGUGAAAUCCCAGGGCUCAACCUUGGAACUGCCAUCAAAACUUUUUAGCUGGAGUGUGACAGAGGUAAGUGGAAUUUCUAGUGUAGAGGUGAAAUUCGUAGAUAUUAGAAAGAACACCAAAUGCGAAGGCAACUUACUGGGUCACUACUGACACUGAGGAGCGAAAGCAUGGGUAGCGAAGAGGAUU